rnacentral:rRNA from 1 species
GUGGGUAGCAAACAGGAUUAGAUACCCUGGUAGUGCACGCCCGUAAACGAUGUCGACUAGCCGUUUGGGACCUUUUAAGGACUUAGUGGCGGCAGUUAACGCGAUAAAGUCGACCGCCUGGGGAAGUACGGCCGCAAGGUUAAAACUCAAAAUGAAUUGACGGGGGCCCGCACAAGCGGUGGAGCAUGUGGUUUAAUUCCAGAUGCAACGCGAAGAACCUUACCUACCCUUGACAUCCAGAGAAGUUGGCAGAGAUUGCCUUCGUGCCUUCGGGAACUCUGAGACAGGUGCUGCAAUGGCUGUCGUCAGCUCGUGUUGUGAAAUGUUGGGUUAAGUCCCGUAACGAGCGCAACCCUUGUCCUUAUUUGCCAGCGAGUAAUGGUGGGAACUCUAAGGAGACUGCCGGUGACAAACCGGAGGAAGGUGGGGACGACGUCAAGUCAUCAUGGCCCUUACGGGUAGGGCUACACACGUGCCUACAAUGGCCGGUACAAAGGGUUGCGAGACCGCGAAGGUGGAGCGAAUCCCAGAAAGCCGGCCUCAGUCCGGAUCGGAGUCUGCAACUCGACUCCGUGAAGUCGGGAAUCGCUAGUAAUCGUGAAUCAGAAUGUCACGGUGAAUACGUUCCCGGGCCUUGUACACACCCGGCCCGUCACACCAUGGGAGUUGGACUGCACCAGAAGUGGUUAGCUUAACCUUCGGGAGGGCGAUCACCACGGUGUGGCGUCAUGGACUGGGGUGAAGUCGUAACAAGGUAGCCGUAGGGGAACCUGCGGC